rnacentral:rRNA from 1 species
AAAUUGAAGAGUUUGAUCAUGGCUCAGAUUGAACGCUGGCGGCAGGCCUAACACAUGCAAGUCGAACGGUAACAGGAAGAAGCUUGCUUCUUUGCUGACGAGUGGCGGACGGGUGAGUAAUGUCUGGGAAACUGCCUGAUGGAGGGGGAUAACUACUGGAAACGGUAGCUAAUACCGCAUAACGUCGCAAGACCAAAGAGGGGGACCUUCGGGCCUCUUGCCAUCGGAUGUGCCCAGAUGGGAUUAGCUUGUUGGUGGGGUAACGGCUCACCAAGGCGACGAUCCCUAGCUGGUCUGAGAGGAUGACCAGCCACACUGGAACUGAGACACGGUCCAGACUCCUACGGGAGGCAGCAGUGGGGAAUAUUGCAC